rnacentral:rRNA from 1 species
AUUGAACGCUGGCGGCAUGCUUUACACAUGCAAGUCGAACGGUAACAGGCCGCAAGGUGCUGACGAGUGGCGAACGGGUGAGUAAUGCAUCGGAACGUGCCCAGUCGUGGGGGAUAACGCAGCGAAAGCUGCGCUAAUACCGCAUACGAUCUAUGGAUGAAAGCGGGGGACCGUAAGGCCUCGCGCGAUUGGAGCGGCCGAUGUCAGAUUAGGUAGUUGGGGGGGUAAAGGCUCACCAAGCCAACGAUCUGUAGCUGGUCUGAGAGGAGGACCAGCCACACGGGGACUCGGACACGGCCCAGACUCCUACGGGAGGCAGCAGUGGGGAAUUUUGGACAAUGGGCGCAAGCCUGAUCCAGCAAUGCCGCGUGCAGGAAGAAGGCCUUCGGGUUGUAAACUGCUUUUGUACGGAACGAAACGGUCCUGGUUAAUACCCGGGGCUAAUGACGGUACCGUAAGAAUAAGCACCGGCCAACUACGUGCCAGCCGCCGCCGUAAGAC